rnacentral:rRNA from 1 species
AGAGUUUGAUCCUGGCUCAGGAUGAACGCUGGCGGCGUGCCUAACACAUGCAAGUCGAGCGAGAUUUAGUGGAGUGGAGACUUCGGUCAAAGCGAAAUUAAUGAAAGCGGCGGACGGGUGAGUAACGCGUGAGCAAUCUGCCCCAUACAAAGGGAUACCCACUGGAAACGGUGAUUAAUACCUUAUAAGACCACAAGGCCGCAUGGCCCGGGGGUCAAAGAUUUAUCGGUAUGGGAUGAGCUCGCGUCUGAUUAGCUAGUUGGUGAGGUAAUGGCUCACCAAGGCGACGAUCAGUAGCCGACCUGAGAGGGUGAACGGCCACACUGGAACUGAGACACGGUCCAGACUCCUACGGGAGGCAGCAGUGGGGAAUAUUGCACAAUGGGCGCAAGCCUGAUGCAGCAACGCCGCGUGAAUGAUGAAGGCCUUCGGGUCGUAAAGUUCUGUCCAAAGGGAAGAAUACAGUGACGGUACCUUUAGAGGAAGCCCCGGCUAACUACGUGCCAGCAGCCGCGGUAAUACGUAGGGGGCAAGCGUUAUCCGGAAUCACUGGGCGUAAAGGGAGCGUAGGCGGUUUGACAAGCCAGAGGUGAAAGGCAAUAGCUUAACUAUUGUAAGCCUUUGGAACUGUCGAACUUGAGUGCAGGAGAGGAAAGUGGAAUUCCUAGUGUAGCGGUGAAAUGCGUAGAUAUUAGGAGGAACACCAGUGGCGAAGGCGACUUUCUGGACUGUAACUGACGCUGAGGCUCGAAAGCGUGGGGAGCGAACAGGAUUAGAUACCCUGGUAGUCCACGCUGUAAACGAUGAAUACUAGGUGUCUGGUGUCAAAGCUAGGUGCCGCAGCUAACGCAUUAAGUAUUCCGCCUGGGGAGUACGCACGCAAGUGUGAAACUCAAAGGAAUUGACGG